CUUCAUAAAGUAGCUGAUGGAACCACU
rnacentral:piRNA from 1 species